rnacentral:rRNA from 1 species
AGAGUUUGAUCCUGGCUCAGGACGAACGCUGGCGGCGUGCCUAAUACAUGCAAGUCGAGCGGACAGAAGGGAGCUUGCUCCCGGAUGUUAGCGGCGGACGGGUGAGUAACACGUGGGUAACCUGCCUGUAAGACUGGGAUAACUCCGGGAAACCGGAGCUAAUACCGGAUAGUUCCUUGAACCGCAUGGUUCAAGGAUGAAAGACGGUUUCGGCUGUCACUUACAGAUGGACCCGCGGCGCAUUAGCUAGUUGGUGAGGUAACGGCUCACCAAGGCGACGAUGCGUAGCCGACCUGAGAGGGUGAUCGGCCACACUGGGACUGAGACACGGCCCAGACUCCUACGGGAGGCAGCAGUAGGGAAUCUUCCGCAAUGGACGAAAGUCUGACGGAGCAACGCCGCGUGAGUGAUGAAGGUUUUCGGAUCGUAAAGCUCUGUUGUUAGGGAAGAACAAGUGCAAGAGUAACUGCUUGCACCUUGACGGUACCUAACCAGAAAGCCACGGCUAACUACGUGCCAGCAGCCGCGGUAAUACGUAGGUGGCAAGCGUUGUCCGGAAUUAUUGGGCGUAAAGGGCUCGCAGGCGGUUUCUUAAGUCUGAUGUGAAAGCCCCCGGCUCAACCGGGGAGGGUCAUUGGAAACUGGGAAACUUGAGUGCAGAAGAGGAGAGUGGAAUUCCACGUGUAGCGGUGAAAUGCGUAGAGAUGUGGAGGAACACCAGUGGCGAAGGCGACUCUCUGGUCUGAACUGACGCGGGAGGAAGCGGAA